rnacentral:rRNA from 1 species
GACGAACGCUGGCGGCGUGCUUAACACAUGCAAGUCGAACGGUAAGGCCCUUCGGGGUACACGAGUGGCGAACGGGUGAGUAACACGUGGGUGAUCUGCCCUGCACUUCGGGAUAAGCCUGGGAAACUGGGUCUAAUACCGGAUAGGACCACUGCCUGCAUGGGUGGUGGUGGAAAGCUUUUGCGGUGUGGGAUGGGCCCGCGGCCUAUCAGCUUGUUGGUGGGGUGAUGGCCUACCAAGGCGACGACGGGUAGCCGGCCUGAGAGGGUGACCGGCCACAGUGGGACUGAGAUACGGCCCAGACUCCUACGGGAGGCAGUAGUGGGGAAUAUUGCACAAUGGGCGCAAGCCUGAUGCAGCGACGCCGCGGGAGGGAUGACGGCCUUCGGGUUGUAAACCUCUUUCAGCACCGACGAAGCGCAAGUGACGGUAGGUGCAGAAGAAGGACCGGCCAACUACGUGCCAGCCGCCGCGGUAA